rnacentral:rRNA from 1 species
GUACACGCUGUGACUAGCAUAUCAAUAAGCGGAGGAAAAGAAACUAACAAGGAUUCCCCUAGUAACGGCGAGUGAAGCGGGAAGAGCUCGAAUUUGAAAUCUUAAAGGGUUUCCCUUUACGAAUUGUAGUUUAAAGAAGUGUUUUCUGUUGAGGUUUUGGUAAAAGUUCUUUGGAAUAGGACAUCAUAGAGGGUGAGAAUCCCGUAUUUGACCUUUACUUUCAACUUUGUGAUACACUUUCAAAGAGUCGGAUUGUUUGGGAAUGCAGUCCAAAAUGGGUGAUAAAUUUCAUCUAAAGCUAAAUAUUGGCGAGAGACCGAUAGCGAACAAGUACUGUGAGGGAAAGAUGAAAAGAACUUUGAAAAGAGAGUUAAACAGUACGUGAAAUUGUCAAAAGGGAAGCGUUUGACACCAGUGUUGUUUUUCUGAAAAUCAAUUAAAGAACUGUUUAUGCUAAGCUGUUUAGACUUUAUCAGCUAUCUGUUUAGUUUUGAGCUUUUCUUUAAUGCACUUUUCAGUUAACAAGUCAACAUCAAUUUCUUUUGCUGUAAAAAAGCUUGAGGAAGGUGGCUUGAGAUUCGUCUUAAGUGUUUAUAGCCUCUUGCCUAUGCAGUCGGAGAGAUUGAGGUCUGCAGCGUAGAUCCUUCGGGGCUAAAUGCAUUUGUGCUAAGUUAUAGCAUUUUAUAGACAACUUGUUGACUAUGAUUUGUCUUGUAGCUUACUCGCUUAUGUUAUUUUACCUACGCUUAGGAUGUUGAAGAUGUAGCACAUCAU